rfam:Desulfotomaculum nigrificans CO-1-SRB chromosome, complete genome.
GGGGGCGAAAUGGCUUCGACGGGGGAAGCGGUGGCAAGAGGAGCGAGCCGGGAUCUCACCAGCCCGUUAAACGGUGAACAAACAAUAAUUGCCAACGAAGAAUACGCUUUAGCUGCUUAAUUCAGCUAACCUCCUACCCGCUGCGCCCGCGGUGCGGGAUUAGGGGGUCACACUAGCGGGACGCUCUAUAGCCUGAUUCUCGGAGGGCUAUAGCUAAGACUGCCGAGAUAGUGCCAAAGCAGCCUGGUUAUGGGCGGCGGCGGUGCGAAAUCUAAAACAUAACCUACGCUCGUAGAGCCUGUUGUGGUCGUUCCUUCGGACGGUGGGUUCAACUCCCCCCGCCUCCACCA